rnacentral:rRNA from 1 species
AGCAGCCGCGGUAAUUCCAGCUCCAAUAGCGUAUAUUAAAGUUGUUGCAGUUAAAAAGCUCGUAGUUGAAUUUCGGGGUCAGUAGGCUGGUCGUGCCACGGGUACGUACUGGUUUCACUGAUUCCUCCUUCCUGAAGAACCGUAAUGCCAUUAAUUUGGUGUUGCGGGGAAACAGGACUGUUACUUUGAAAGAAUUAGAGUGUUUAAAGCAGGCUAACGCUUGAAUACAUUAGCAUGGAAUAAUGAAAUAGGACGAUCGAUCCUAUUUUGUUGGUUUCUAGGAUUGACGUAAUGAUUAAUAGGGAUAGUUGGGGGCAUUAGUAUUCAAUUGUCAGAGGUGAAAUUCUUGGAUUUAUUGAAGACUAACUACUGCGAAAGCAUUUGCCAAGGAUGUUUUCAUUAAUCAAGAACGAAAGUUAGGGGAUCGAAGACGAUCAGAUACCGUCGUAGUCUUAACCAUAAACUAUAGCCGACUAGGGAUCGGAUGAUGUUAAUUUUAUAAUGACUCAUUCGGCGCCUU